GACGAACGCUGGCGGCGUGCUUAACACAUGCAAGUCGAACGAUGAUGCCCAGCUUGCUGGGUGGAUCAGUGGCGAACGGGUGAGUAACACGUGAGUAACCUGCCCCUGACUCUGGGAUAAGCGUUGGAAACGACGUCUAAUACUGGAUAUGACUACCGGCCGCAUGGUCUGGUGGUGGAAAGAUUUUUUGGUUGGGGAUGGACUCGCGGCCUAUCAGCUUGUUGGUUAGGUAAUGGCUCACCAAGGCGACGACGGGUAGCCGGACUGAGAGGGUGACCGGCCACAAUGGGACUGAGAAACGGCCCAGACUGCUACGGGAGGCAGCAGUGGGGAAUAUUGCACAAUGGGCGAAAGCCUGAUGCAGCAACGCCGCGUGAGGGAUGACGGCCUUCGGGUUGUAAACCGCUUUUAGUAGGGAAGAAGCGAAAGUGACGGUACCUGCAGAAAAAGCACCGGCUAACUACGUGCCAGCCGCCGCGGUAA
rnacentral:rRNA from 1 species